UGGGCUGAGUUCACCAUCCCAGGGCUUUCUAGCAUCUUUCCUUGGACACUUAAUUCUUAGCCCAGCAGCCACAAGGCAUUAAUUUCUACGCAACAUCAUCCAUAUUUUAUCAAUCCAAGAAAGGUAGCAACACCAAGUAAGCUUCACUAUUCACACUAUUUUGCUUUGAAGUUUUAUCUAUUUAAGGUGGUAAGGUACUGUAUUCACUGACACUUCCCCCCUACUCCCCCUCGCAUAUAAUGAAGAGCUGAAUCAGACGAACACUCAGGAUGAGAUGGCUGCUGCUGAUGUAUCUCUCUAGGUCAUUACCUCUCUUCCAACUGCAAAUGCUGCAUGAUACUAAGCUUACAGAGGAAGAACACAAAAUUAACACUACAGAAAUCAGGAAUGUCUGAAUACCUUACUGGACAUGAUAGCCUUGCCCGUGCAGCAUCAGCUUGGUUAUUGUGACACCCUGGCAUCGCCAUUUUCAUCACUGACAUAUAAUUUUGGUAUGUUUUGUACAAAGUAUGCCUUGUGAGGUAUCAUUCUAAAAGUCUUGAUCUGCUGAAUGUUAAUAUCCUGUUGGAUAGUAUGUGCUAUCACGUGAAGUUAUGAAGUUUUGCUGUGUGUGAGUUACUGAAAGAUGUUGUGAAGUUGGAAGCACCCACAACAAGCCUUUCAGGUACAAUAAUGAAGAAGCUAGCCAGAGCUAAUGGCACAUCAGCAAAGACAACGGCCAUGCAAAAGGCUUGUCCUCACCAGGGGAUGCUUCAGACAGGCUAUGGCUAAUGGCUGCCAUGACUCAUCAAGCAUGCAUGGGCAUGUGACCAGACCACAUGAUACUCAACUCCAUUUUGAUACCUGUAUUUUUGCACAAACUGGGCUGGGAACUUG